AUGUACAUUCCUACAACAUAGUGUUAACGCAUCAGAUCCCAUUAGAACUCUGCAGUUAAGCGUGCUCAGGCUAGAGUAGUACUGGGAUGGGUGAUCACCUGAGAAUUUCUAGUAUUUUACAUG
rfam:Picea glauca, whole genome shotgun sequence.